GGGCCCGCACAAGCGGUGGAGUAUGUGGUUUAAUUCGAUGCAACGCGAAGAACCUUACCAGGGCUUAAAUGUAAGUUGCAUUAGUUAGAGAUAGCUAUUUCUUCGGACCACUUACAAGGUGCUGCAUGGUUGUCGUCAGCUCGUGCCGUGAGGUGUCAGGUUAAGUCCUAUAACGAGCGCAACCCCUGUUGUUAGUUGCCAGCGAGUCAUGUCGGGAACUCUAACAAGACUGCCGGUGCAAACCGUGAGGAAGGUGGGGAUGACGUCAAAUCAUCACGGCCCUUACGUCCUGGGCUACACACGUGCUACAAUGGUCGGUACAGAGAGCAGCCACUACGCGAGUAGGAGCGAAUCUUCAAAGCCGAUCACAGUUCGGAUCGGAGUCUGCAACUCGACUCCGUGAAGCUGGAAUC
rnacentral:rRNA from 1 species